GCCUGCAUUUUACAGGGGCUUUCUCAGGAAAGAUACUGUACUGAGAGAGCUGUUGGUAUGUUAAAGCUAUGGGAACUGGAGAAAGACAAACCAUCUUCUAAAUGAGACCAUAUAACUCAGACAGUACAACAACGGACACAGGGAUAGGAGAAGAACAGAGACGUUUAGGGUAGGAGGAAAAUUGCCAGUGCUGGGAUGGAACCUGACACCUGCUAACCAGAAGAUUAAAGCUACAAGCCAGAGGCUGAAGAGUUUUGGUAUCACAAGUUUACUGUUAGUGUGUGUCACUGAAGUAAUAGAAAAUGCAAGCUCUGUGGCAAAGCACAAUUAUGCCUGGAAUUUCUCCUCCUCUGCAACAGUGAUAAUUUUGUAUUCAAAUCUUCAAACAAGCUUCAGGACCACUGUUACAAUACAAGCAAGCUCUCUCAACAACAGGGUUUCCAUGCCUGGGGAAACAAAGGUCAGCAUGGUAAAAGUCAGUCUUCUGCAUAGCUACAGCCUUCAACUUGCCCUAGUUGAUAACUGCUGAAGGGAAAAGCAUCAAUAUUAGUGAGAAAUAAUGCAGUGAAAGGCGUUGAAUUCUCAGGCCUGUAAAAUGAAUUUAAAAAACCAAAACCCCCUAUAUAGCACCUUUCAGCAGAGGGUGUCAGAGCAUUGCACGGACAUUUAUCAGGCCUCAUUAAACCCCAGUGAAAUAGUUAUUCCUCUUUUUUACAGGUGGGGAAACUGAGGCAAAGAGAUUUGCUAAGUAUUACACAGCAAGUCAGUGAUAUUGGGAACAGAACCCUUUGUUCCCAGUCAGCUGCUCUAGUCACAAGAUCACAUUCUGUGCACCAUAAGAGCUCCAGCAGGGACAGCAUCAAUCUAAGAA